rnacentral:sRNA from 1 species
AAAGAUGAGGCUGCUGUCAUUUGUGGUGUUGGCUCUAUUUGCUGUCACUCAAGCAGAGGAAGGAGCCAGGCUUUUGGCUUCCAAAUCACUGCUGAACAGAUACGCCGUGGAGGGACGAGACCUGACCUUGCAGUACAACAUCUACAAUGUUGGCUCAAGUGCUGCAUUAGACGUGGAACUAUCUGAUGAUUCCUUCCCUCCAGAAGACUUUGGCAUUGUGUCUGGAAUGCUCAAUGUCAAAUGGGACCGGAUUGCCCCUGCUAGCAAUGUCUCCCACACUGUGGUCCUGCGCCCUCUCAAGGCUGGUUAUUUCAACUUCACCUCGGCAACAAUUACUUACCUGGCCCAGGAGGAUGGGCCCGUUGUGAACCAACCUCAGGACUCUUUGGUUCUACCUGGUAGUUGAUGGGUUAAUAGACAUAAAAUCAAAGGCUUAGCUGCCACUUUGGAAUAAAGUUGUUUGCAGUGUGCUCCAAACUCUUGGCUUCCUCUCCAAGACAAAGGAAUGUGGACCAGACUCAACCCCUCCUCUAAUAAUGUACAUUUGGGUAGAGCUUUAUACUUCAUUAUAUAUUUUUGCUAUUUCAUUUGAGCCUCACAUUAACCCUGUGAAGUAGUGGAUUUUUGCUGGAGGAUUAAGUAAAUGAUUACCAAGGGUAAGUCAUUCCACGCACACCUUGCGCUGUAGAGGGGCCAGUGGUGGUGAGCAACUUCACUCUUUGCAGAGUCUGAGGCUCAGACAGAAGAAUUUGGCUUUAAUUUCAUUUGCAUGCCUGGCCUACCUUGUUUAAUAUAUGUUCUCCAUGGGGUAUUUCUCAGGUCUUCUGGCUCCUAGGUACUCCUCUUUAUAACACACUAAGAGAGAAUCAUCCAACUCUCUCUAGCCAAAAGCUUUCCCUCAUCUUCUUGAAGUUCUCCUGAGCCUUUGGGAACUAAGACUCUAAUGCAUAGAGUGGGGUUGGUUGGGACUGCCCUUUCUCAGAGUAGAUGAGGUAGAACUUCAUGAGGUGGACUUGCCUUAAUGUCGUUCUUUUCUUCUUUUCAGAUUGGCUCUACCAGUGCACCUGGACAGGGAGGAAUCCUGGCUCAGCGGGAGUUUGACAGGCGAUUCUCCCCUCAUUUUCUGGACUGGGCAGCCUUUGGGGUCAUGACCCUUCCCUCCAUCGGCAUCCCCCUGCUAUUGUGGUACUCCAGCAAGAGGAAAUAUGACACUCCCAAAACGAAGAAGAACUGAUUGGGGCUUCCACAGCCCUCCUCUCCCAAGAAAUCCAGGCUCCUCUCCCAAGAAAUCCAGGUGCUUUCCAGACUCCAAAGAGUAUCUUAAAUGCAAUCUCUUCUCUCUUAGCCCUUGGCCACUUUCUCCUGGAUCCUGCCCUGCUCUCAGCCAUAGUGAAGGACCAGGCCUAGGAGUCUGCGAGAGCCUCCUUGGUUCCAUCGUGAAGCCAUAAACAGGAAUGCCUUUGGCAAUAGCCUUGAGCCUAGAGGGCCCUCUGAUGCCCCACUGAGGUGCUGUUGGUUUAUUGCUGGCAAUGUGAAUUCUCUCAGGGGUCUAGGAGGGGCAUUUUGGAGACUGCCUGACACCACCCCUAUCCCCUGCCUCCCCCUCUCAGAAGAGGGUGGAAGAUGAAAUGAAAGCUAUGGGACUCUUGGAGGAUACCCAGUGUCUAUUCUGGGUUAGAGAAGUGCUUACUAAGGGGUUUUCUAAUAAAAAC